rnacentral:misc_RNA from 1 species
CGUCAAUUUGCUGCCCGUCUCCAAGGCACUGGUGAUGCUGCCUUCACAAGCUGGCUAACGUCACGGCUCCAUCACCCAGCGGGGUGAAUACAAGAAAGACGAACUCCUAGAAGCUGCUAGGAGUGGUAAUGAAGAAAAACUAAUGGCUUUACUGACUCCUCUAAAUGUGAAUUGCCAUGCAAGUGAUGGGCGAAAGUCGACUCCUUUACAUCUAGCAGCGGGCUACAACAGAGUUCGAAUAGUUCAGCUUCUUCUUCAGCAUGGUGCUGAUGUUCAUGCAAAAGACAAAGGUGGACUUGUGCCUCUUCAUAAUGCAUGUUCAUAUGGACAUUAUGAAGUCACAGAACUGCUACUAAAGCAUGGAGCUUGUGUUAAUGCCAUGGAUCUCUGGCAGUUUACUCCACUGCACGAGGCUGCUUCCAAGAACCGUGUAGAAGUCUGCUCUUUGUUACUUAGCCAUGGCGCUGAUCCUACGUUAGUCAACUGCCAUGGCAAAAGUGCUGUGGAUAUGGCUCCAACUCCGGAGCUUAGGGAGAGAUUGACUUGUACGUAUUUAUA